UACGUAGGGUGCAAGCGUUGUCCGGAAUUAUUGGGCGUAAAGAGCUCGUAGGCGGCCUGUUGCGUCCGCUGUGAAAGCCCGGGGCUUAACCCCGGGUCGGCAGUGGAUACGGGCAGGCUAGAGGUAGGUAGGGGAGAAUGGAAUUCCCGGUGUAGCGGUGAAAUGCGCAGAUAUCGGGAGGAACACCAGUGGCGAAGGCGAUCAUCUGGGGUUGUUCUGACACUGAGGAGCGAAAGCUAGGGGAGCAAACGGG
rnacentral:rRNA from 1 species